AUGGCAGAGGCCCAUGCAAAGCUUUAUCCCCAAUGCUAUGUCCCAGCCCAAGCCCCAGCCCCAGCUUCAGCCCCAGACCCAGGCCCAACCCCAGGCCCAACCAUAGCUUUACCCCACCUCCAUGGCACAGGCCCAGAUCCAGAUUUUCUCCCAAUUCCAUAUUCCAGUGCAAGCCCCAUCCCCACCCCAUCCCCAUCCCCAUCCCCUGCCCCUAUCCCUUGCCCCUGCCCCUGCCCCAGCCCCAGCCCCAGGCCCAGGCCCAGGCCCAGGCCCAGCAGAUUUCUCCUCAACUCCCUGUCCCUGGCCGAGGCCCUUAACCCUAUUGGGUGCUCUCCCUGUUGAUAUCACAACCUGGGGUUACUGUAAUAUUCCUGAACUUAGCUGGAUUCAGAUACCUGAGUUUAACAACCUGGCCAAACGUACUGAUUAAACCUCAGUCCCAGGCCCAGACCCAACCCUAGCUUUACCCCAGCUCCAUGGCAGAGGCCCAUGCAAAGCUUUAUCCCCAAUGCUAUGUCCCAGCCCCAGCCCCAGACCCAGACCCAGCCCCAGACCCAGCCCCAGACCCAGCCCCAGACCCAGACCCAACCCCAGGCCCAGGCCCAGCAAUAGAUUUCUCCCGAACUCCAUAUACCUGGCACAGGACCUCAACCCAAGUGGGUGUUCUCCCUGUAGAUAUCACAACCUGGGGUUACUGAAAUAUUCCUUAACUUAGGUGGAUUUAGAUAACUGGUUUUAACAACCUGGCCAAACUUACUGAUUAGAUCCUAGCCCCAACCCCAGCCCCACCCCUAGCUUUACCCCCAACUCCAUAUCCCAGGUCCAAGCCCCAGCCCCAGCUUUUCCCACAAUGCCAUCUACCUGCCCCAAGAGCAUCCCCAGCCCUAGCUUUACCCCAAUUCCAUGGCACAGGCCCAGAUCCCGCUUUAACCAGAAAUCCAUAUCCCAGCCCAAGCCCCAACCCAACCCAACCCAACCCAACCCACCCCAGCCCCAGCCCCAGCCCCAGCCCCAGCCUCAGCCUCAGCCUCAGCCGUAGCCCCAGGCCUAGGGCCAGCUGUAGAUUUCUCCCCAACUCCUUGUCUCUGGCCCAGGCCCAUAACCCUAUGAGGUGUGUUCCUGUUUAUAUCACAACCUGGAGUUAAUGAAAUAUUUUUUAACCUAGCUGAAUUUAGAUACCUGGUUUAAACAACCUGGCCAAACUUACCAUUUAACCCCAAGUCCCAGGCCCAGCCUCAACCCUAGCUUUACCCCAAUUCCAUGGAACAGGCCCAGAUCUAGCUUUACUUCCGACUCCACAUCCCAGCCCCAGCCCCAACCCCAGCCCCAACCCCAGCCCCAG
rnacentral:lncRNA from 13 species